GCGACCGGCGCACGGGUGCGUAACGCGUAUGCAACUUGCCUGUCAGUGGGGGAUAACCCGGAGAAAUUCGGACUAAUACCGCAUACACUUAGUUUGUUGCAUGACAGAUUAAGGAAAGAUUUAUUGCUGACAGAUAGGCAUGCGUUCCAUUAGUUAGUUGGUGAGGUAACGGCUCACCAAGACAGCGAUGGAUAGGGGGACUGAGAGGUUGACCCCCCACACUGGUACUGAGAUACGGACCAGACUCCUACGGGAGGCAGCAGUGAGGAAUAUUGGUCAAUGGGCGAAAGCCUGAACCAGCCAAGUCGCGUGAAGGACGACGGUUCUAUGGAUUGUAAACUUCUUUUGUACAGGAUUAAAAGCUUCUACGUGUAGGGGAAUUGCAGUUACUGUACGAAUAAGCAUCGGCUAACUCCGUGCCAGCAGCCGCGGUAAUACGGAGGAUGCGAGCGUUAUCCGGAUUUAUUGGGUUUAAAGGGUGCGUAGGUGGCAGAGAAAGUCAGGGGUGAAAAGCUGCAGCUCAACUGUAGUCUUGCCUUUGAAACUUCUCAGCUAGAGUGUAGAAGAGGUAUGUGGAAUGUGUGGUGUAGCGGUGAAAUGCAUAGAUAUCACACAGAACUCCGAUUGCGAAGGCAGCAUACUGGGCUAUAACUGACACUGAAGCACGAAAGCGUGGGUAUCGAACAGGAUUAGAUACCCUGGUAGUCCACGCAGUAAACGAUGAAUACUAGGUUUGUGCGAUAUACAGUAUGAGCCUAAGCGAAAGCGAUAAGUAUUCCACCUGGGGAGUACGCCGGCAACGGUGAAACUCAAAGGAAUUGACGGG
rnacentral:rRNA from 1 species